AAAAUAAGCUGUCUUAUCGCGGUUUAUUAAUAACUGAGGAAAGUCCGAACAGCAUAGAGCAUCAUGCUACCUAACGGGUAGGAGAUAAUUGGGUGACUAAUUAUUUACAGCCAGUGCAACAGAAAACAAACUACCGUAGUAAUGCGGAAAAGGUGAAAAGGUAGGGUAAGAGCCUACCGCUCGGUUGGUGACAAACGAGGCAUGGUAAACCUCAUGAGCUGAAAGACCAAAUAAACCGGCGUUUCGUUGAGCAUUUGCUCGGCGUUAAGAGCUGCUCGUUCGAGUCGGAGGGUAGGUUGAUAGAGGCAAGUAGUGAUACUUGUUCGAGAUAAAUGAUAAGAAUAGUUUUUAUAACUAUACAGAAUUCGGCUUACAGGCUUAUUUUUCUU
rnacentral:RNase_P_RNA from 2 species